UGCAGAGUUCUUUUAAAUAUAAAUAAAUAAAAAAAAAAGGCACAUGCUGUGCUGGAGCCACCUGUGCCUCUCCCUUCUACUUCUGCAUCACUUCACGUGUUUUUUGACACCAAAGUAGUUGACAGCAAGUAUGUGGCUUAGUUUGUCCUCCAGCAACUUCAGUUAAAUGAUAGCUCCUCUGUUAAGAGCCAUCUUCCUUUUGCCAUCUAAGUCAAAAUCUAUUCUUCAAAGCACGCUGCUUGGUUAGAGCAUUUGUGUAUAAUUGUUACCCAAAAUUUUGUCUUACAGGAUCUCAUUUUGACAAGUACGUACAGAGCAUGCAACAUUUAAAUGAGGUGUAUUUAUAUCAGAUGCAUACAUAGUCAUUCAUUCGUAUGUCUGUAUAUCAGAUAGUUUUGUGUAUAAUGUAAAUAGCACAUCUUUUCCAAACAGCACUUAUGUUUCAACAGCCUAAAUCUCCGUUUGUCCUGUGUUAGCAUGAUGAAUAAAUUUCUCCAGCCCUUCAACCCAGAAAGUUAAACAUGUGGUUGAGUGGUGAACCCUUAAAUUAAUGACAUGGUCUAUGCUGAUGUCACUGGACAUGACAGCAAUUCCACAGCACAAAACUCACCCAGUGUAAUAUCAACACACACAAGACUUAAGACAAAGUUUAAACAGAACCUUUUUCAAUGAAAAAAGAUCAGUGUUUCACAGUAUUUUGCAGAAACGUGCUUGUAUAAACAAAAAUGUCAAUGGAGAAAAAACUAUGCUGUUAGUUUAAUAUCAUUUUAAUAAGAAAUAUGUUACAAUAAGAAAUGUUUCAUCAUUUGAAUUAAACUUAUUUGAUUUUUAUAACAUAUUACUAAUUAUAUCUGUUUAACAUUGUAACAUAACACAGUAAUGAAGAACACUCAAAAUACAAUAUUUCAGUGGCUGUAACAAUGUUUUGCAGCUUUCAAUCUCAUGUCAAUAUUAAUGUUUCAUUAAUUUCAUGCCUUGCAAUAAUUUAUUUUUUAUUCCAGAAGAGUCAUGGAGUUGGAAGUUCUAAAUUCUGAUCAGCUGUAGAAAGCACAACAUCAAUAUUAGGAGGAUUGUUUUAUACAUACAUUCAUAUCCUUUGUGCUUAAUUUUCUCCUUUUGAAAAAGGGAGAAAGACAGGUCUUCCAUUUAAAGUACUUUGAGAUCGACUUAUGAUGAUUAUGAAAGAUUGUUCUGUGUUCUGGUCUUUCUUUUCACGCUAUUUUUAUUUUUAUUAUUUUUAUUCACCGAGUCCUCUAGGACCAGGCUCUCUCUCAGAAGCGUGAAGCUACCCAGAAGCUGACUCAGCUGCCAUACCUUGAGGCUUCUACCAGCCUGCAAAACUCUCCACCAUUUCACCUCAUCUUUCUGUCAAAUUUGGCAUUCAGAUAUGAAACAGAUGUUUAUUGUGCUUUUUAAGUGUCCAGGAGAUCUUGUCAAAAGAGUCUGUACUUUACACAUAAUGUUUGACAUGUGGGAAAGAUGGACGGACGUGACAGGACAGUGUUUGGAAAGAAAACUUGAGGGUUGAUUUCCUCAUGGUGUGUGCUGCUCUGCGUCAGCCCAGGCUGCAGAGCAGCGGGAGCGGGGCAGCUGCCGCCUACCUGACAGAAAGGUCCAGACCCAGGAAUCCAGGAUUCUGUUUUUGGAGAAAAGAAAAACCACAGGAUACACUUAUGAGGAAAAUUAUUUCUAAAGCCAUGCCAGAUCCUCAGCUCUUUCCUCUGGCCCAGCAUUGAGAAGUGAUCUUUAAGCUGCCUGCAGAGGACAUCUGGUGAUCCUGCGGUAUAGAGGAGUCAUCGUGCUGCUUAGCCACUUCAGGACAUCUGUUCUUUUUAGCUUUUGGAGAGUGAUGGGACACAGCCAGAAUUUGCAGUAUUUCAAAACAGAUCUGUCAGCAGAAUAGUCCCUGGAGAAUUUUGUUCCUGCUGGUGUAAUUUCAGAUAAAUAAGCACUCAUGGAGUACACACUGUAACUUCUGUAUGGACAAAAUGGACUGAGACUUAUGGAAUGCUGUCAUCCUUCUUAGCACAAAAUGGAGUUGCACUCGCUGAUAUGUGAAGCAAAGCGCUCUUCCAGUAUUCCUCGUUUGCUUGACACAUCAUGAAAAGCCACCCAUGCUUCUGAGGGGUGUUCCCGGCUUCUGUAAUAGUUCAGGGCAGGGAAUGGAACAAAAAGGUUUGAAUCAGGCAAAUUAAGAAUGAUCUCUAAGAUAAACAUGUAUUAUUCAGUAACUUUAUUUAAAUUCCAGGAAGUCUGAAGUCCAUACCUCUUGCUUUGUGUUGCUCAAAGCCUGUUCUUUGUCUGCUGUCAGAUUUUCAAAGUGCAACUGGGAGUGACUGACUUUUCCACUCAUUUCCAGGCAUGACUGUUUUCUCACUCUUCAGAAAUGCCUUCGGAGGUUUGUCACAGUCAGGCCUUGUGACCAUUAGCACAAAUUCCACCAGGUCUGAUGAGGAGGAAGAUAUUGCCCAUUUUCACUGAGAUAACACAAGUCACCCUUCUAAUUCUGCCACACUCCACUGUCCCUGUCUAAAAUAAUUGAAAAACUUUACCGUUUGCACCUGGCUUUAUAGAACUUCAGUGAUUCCUUAACAGGUUUCCAAUCUUUUUUUAUCUUUUUACAUGUACCAUCUUCCUGUUUAACAAAGGAAAGAAAGAAAGAAAGAAAGUAGCUGCCUUCAUUCAUUCUAUUGGGACCAAAGGCUUUGAAUUUUACAUACCAGUGGCACGAGAGUGUGCAGGGAGCAUGCACAUUUCAUGUCUUGAAUAUGAAAAUAUGAAUGAUAGCCAUAAAGUAGAAGUUUGCUGCAGUUAUUUAAUGGCUGCAUUAUCCUUUUUUUAAAAAUUAUUAUUAUUUCUGGUACCCAUCUAGAACAUGACCUGGGUGUGUAACUAGGAAUACGUGUUUUGAAAUGAUCAAAUCUAACACUGGGAAAAGGGCUGCCUUGCCCCUUCUCAGCUGCCACAGUGUUGAUCCUGUGAGGCUUGUUUGGUUUUGUUUUAGUAAACAAGCAGGGGCCUUUUUAGUCAUUCUUUAAUCAUCAGGGCAUAACUUCUUCACAUGUGGUCAUGACACACAGCUCCACCACAAUUCCUUCCUACUGACUAUAAAAAGCAUGAUCACAGCAUAACCUAGGAGGGCAUGUUCACCCCUUGUUUCAUGCUGCACUUGCAGAUUGAUCUCCACAGUUUAAUUACUGGUGUACAACAAUGUGUGAGCUUGAACCACCACAUUUAUCAGAAUUUUUUUUUGGUAGAAUAAAUCUCUAAAAUACAAAGCAUUAGGCUAGAGAGUUGAUCAAUUGCUGCCAUUCAUUUACUUCCUUAUGGAGCACUGAUGCAGCGAAACUCCCAUCACAAAGAACUAUCAUUAACUAGUGCACAUUUAUUUGCUUAAGAAGUCUAAUAAUCAAUCAUCAAAUUUCUCCACUUGUUUUGUGGCAUUGUAUUUCAUCACUUGGUAGGGUAUGAAACAUUAUCAUUCUUUACACAAGUUUGUUAACGGAAUAUUUAUUUGAAGAGGUUUCAAUAUAAAUAAAGAUUUUCUACAUGUAUUUCUUUAAAAAGAUUUAUUUUUAUUUCAACUAUUUGCUUUCCUAUGAAAAAAAUAUGUGAAAAAAUAAUCCAGAAGUGUAAAUGGCAUGAAAAUUGAAUUAUCCAUCAGAUGGAAGGGGUGAUCACUGCAAGUCAGGUAUGUGGGUUUGGGUGGGGUACAGCAAACAGCUUCGUUUGUUUAUAUGUUUGGGGGAUUUCUCUCCAUGUCCCUCUUUCCCUACUGUAGAUCAUUUAUCCUUUGAGAAAGAAAAGGAAGGCUGGUAUAAAUUAGGAAUGGUAAUGUAAAAGCUUAUAUCCUCUGCAUAAAAGUUUUUCAAAUUAAUACAAGCAUUAAAUUGCCAAAUAUUUUUCCCAUAUACUGCCAAUAUUAAACAUGACAUGCCUGCUAGGGUUGGUAUAAAGUUUUGUCAGCAUUUUUGGCAUACAAGAUCUCAGCCUGGGGUCAAUAUUUUCUUGACCAAAUUUUGUUGUUUCAGUUGCCUUUUUACACUCAUAUAUUGUAACUCAAACAUCCCCAAAAAAACGAGUUUUGGCAGGCUAUUAGUCCAUAAUGUGGUCUAAUGCCUUUGGAUAUUUUUUUAAAUGUAAAUCAUUGAGAUAUUUAAGGUUUGAGGUUUAAGAACUGUGCACACACUUUAACAACUUCUUUUAAAAAUAUUUAGUAUGCAUAUUUACUACAUAUGUAUCUUAUAGAGACUAGAGAUUAAACUGGAGAUUACUCACUAAAAUAUGCAAACUGCUGUCCAUGAAUAAACAUCCUCAUGAACUCAUAUUGAAAGUUUUGUAUUUUAAAAAAGUGCUUUAAAACUACAAUAAAAGCAAAAGGAAGUAAUAAGGGGGGAGGAAAAAGCAAUGUUUAAGUAAGUUUAAUGGUUUGACUUGGCCACGGAAAAUAAAGAAGUUCAUUUUGUUCUCCUGGGAUCUAAUCCAAAGCCCACUGAGGUCAAAAGAAGGCUUUCUACCAAUUGCCAUGUGCACUGGGUCUGGUCUCUGCUCUGUUGCUCCCUCACUGUGCAGUGCUGAUGGGCUGCAGCAGCUCACAGAACACACUGACCCACUAGUCUGCUGUAUGCCUUGCAUGGGUUUGGGGUAAGUUACGGGUGGCAGAGGAACUCUCCUCUGGUGUGUCCAUCCUUCCUCUGUAAUUUGGAAUCAGUUUUCCACUUUUGCCUUGACCUAUCGGUGCUUACCAGUUAUUCAUUGGAGUUUUCAUACAGUAAAAUAUAAGAGGAAACUUGUAGAAUCCUUAAAAUGUUCAAAUGUCCCAGUGUGCCUGUGCACGUAACGGUGUUAUGUACCACACAGCAUCACUCAGCCUGAGGUCUUUUAGAAACUAACCUUUUUUCAGAGUCAUUUAUAACAUCAGCCCAGGACUACAUACUCUAAUUUGUGUUAGUUACAAAUGACAGGAUUUGUGUAAUCAAUGAGCACUGGCGCCAUCGCAUGCAAUGCUCGUUAGAAUGCAAUUCCUGCAGUUCCUGGACAAUCUGUUCCUUAUGGUGAUUUUUGGGAGCUUGUAAACUCUCACUAAGAUGCUGGCAACACCAACCAAACAUCUCAGACACAUUGUCUUUUUGAACCUGAACUUUUUAAAUGGUGGUUAAACAUGUUGUCUGCUUUAGUUUCCUGUCUAUCUUCAUCAUAAGCCGGCACCUGUUUCCAAUAAAUUAUACACAGAGCUGUAUCAGCAACACCUUGGCAGCAGCUGCCACCCUGAAAAGCAGAAUGCCCUUGAGGACAAUACACCUGUGAACACAUACAGUGUUUAUUUAGCUGAAAGGCAAAACUUGAAGUUACAUAAAGCAAUUAUCUAAAGCCUAAUAUAUGCCCAUUAUUAACACAAAAUAACCUUGUUUUUAAAACCAAUGAAAAUCUAUUUAAGGCUUUUUCCAAAUCUCAGGGAAAUAUGUACUAGCACUGGGGAUCUGCUGUUAGCCUGGGACCUCCAACUGUCUGAUGGUGGGAAGAUGUGUGGGGGAGGCUGUGUUUGCAAAGUAAUAGGGCAUAGAUUUGGAGUUCAUUAUACACAGAGAUGAGGGAAGAAGCCAAAUAAUUUUCAGAGAGACUGUUAAACAACAGACUCAUUUUCUUAUUGGUUCUACAUAAUAAAGUAGCAUUUUGUUGCCGAAGCAUAGAAUCAUUCUGUUUAAGACAGUGUUUGAUCUUCCCAUAACUGUGAGACAGAAGGAAAAAUGGUCCUGAGAAAGAGGUUUUUUAUUACUAGAACAAACCUUUCAUAUCUAGUUCACUACCAGCACUGUCUUUUCAUGUAACAAGGAGCCUAUUUUAGCAGCAGUAAGUGCAGUUUGUUGUUUGCAGCAGCUCACAGGAUAAUGAAAAAAAAAAAAAAAACAAACUUAUGAGUAAAAUAGAAUAGAAUAGAAAUCUGAGAUAAGUUCUCAAGUUUUGGUAAAGCAAGAAGUAACACUAGCAACUCUAAUUCAAAUAAGUUGUAGCAUCCAUUUUCAGUUUAAUAGGCGUACUUUAAAUAUUAUUUGGCACAUGAACCUUAUAAACCACUUAAAGGGGAAGAUAUUUUCUACUCAGUGUUUCUGAAGUUAACAUUAAAUACAGAAAGUUUAUAAAUGUGUGUGCAUGUAUGUACAUAUUCUUGUACUAAAUGCUGAUAAUUCUUUACAUUUUUAAGUCAUACUUUACAAUACUUUAAUCCCCUCUCCAAUCCCUCCCAUUGCCAUUUAAGUGAUUAACUUCAAUGAUCUUAGGUGAAAAUGUGUUUUAACACUUCUGUUUGGCCAGACCUGAAAGCUGUGGAAGGACUUGCUGAUGAGUAUUACAGCUUUCUUAAGUGUCAUUUUUUUAAAACCCUUACAAUGCUGAAUGCGAAGACAUGUGGAAUGGUGAUGCUUGUGAUAGUCUUCCAUCAAUAAUUUUGUACAUUUAGAUCCAACGGUUUCAGUCUUAUGAAGUGCAAAAUAAAAUUUCAAGAGAAUAGCAUUAGCAUAACGUCACGAUAUAUACCUUGUCUUUCAAAUGUCACUAAUAAAUAUAAUGUAUUUUGUUUCAUAUUUUAUUAUCAGAUGGUUUGACAUAGUUUGACAUAGUUAUAUUUUUUUCCAGGUGUCUUUCUUAAAACUGCUCUAUUUUCAUCUCAGAACAAGCAUGGUACAUUUCAGAGAUCCAAGCCGAAACAUAUGGAUUAAGUCAAUGAUUCAGUUUCUAAACCUCCAAAUGACUGUUCUGAUUACUCAUGCAAAUCUAUAUUUUUGCCAGGUUUCCUUAAGACUGUAAUACAAGGAAAAUUAACAGGAAUGUAUUUUCUUCUCCUAAUGCAUGUGAGAAUAUGACAGAAUGAUGGUCUCCACACACAGAUACAAACAUGCUUCUUGAUUUAAAUUAUAUUGGCUGUGUUCGAUUCUAAUUGAAUAUAAAUGCUAGGAGCACCCAGCUAAGAUUCCAACCAAAAGGAAAUUCAGCUAUAGCUACAAAAUAAAAACUAUUUCAUUUCCCCUGGAGUGUUUAGCUUUUAUUAAAUGUCAACAAAUCUAAAAACAUGCUUUACUAAUCUAUGGUGUGUAUGGGAAAUAAGUCACAAGGAUAAGUCACUGAAGAUAAUGUUUGCUUUGGUUUAGAUAAACAGGUUCCAGAGAAAUGAAAUCUCUCACAAGUAUUUAACCAACCCUUGUUUUCCUUUAACAUUUGUCAGAUCUCCCACUGGUGAUCAAAGAAUGCCAAGCUGUGAUAUAGCUUGGGGCCUGCAAGCAGACCUGUGUUUGUGAUCGUUUGCUACCCUCUGUAGUAAGUUUAUCCAUUAGUUUAUUUCCUGUUGACUUCCAUGCACACUGUUAAGCCAGGAUGUUGCAUGUUCUCAAACAGAAAAUGGAAUUACAAGAGGAAGAUGCUGCCACCUGGAAGGUCUGCCUCUGUGCUGCCUGCUGGAGAAAUGCCAUGGGACUGAGGAUCACAGAAGCAGCUGGGCAUGAGGACCCGCGAGGAGCCGCACUCUACUGCCGGAUAAGCUGUGUUCCUCCUGGCCUCACAUCCGUAUUCAUACAGGUUUGGCCAAGAUUGGGACAUUAGAGUGAAGAUCUACAAAAAUAGCAGCACCAGAUCCAAACUUCUACAGUGUCUUUCCAAAGUUAGCUAGAUGUACAUAUAGGGAUUCACACAUGCAGCCACCAGAGCUGUAUCGAAAGUCUGGUGGGCUACAGUGAACACAGCAGCUGUGGAGCCUACAAUGACCCAGGGGCUGCCCCUGGUGUCAGGUGACCAAAGUACUAAUACAGCAAAUUGCUGGAAAAAUGGUGUGAUGGGAAUCUCCCUGGAGAAAAAGCUCAGCACUGGACCCUAACUUGGAACUGGUGAAACCCGAGUGUUUCACAGGAAGCACAAGGACAUGAUUUGGACUCUGCCUUCCACGCCAGUAUCAUUGAGGUACACUGAGGAGACAGAGUGCAAGGGGCUGGUUUUGCUCACCUUUAAGGAUGUGAUACAAGAGUGAACCACAGAAGUGACAGCAGGGCACUGUGGGCACAGGUUCAUGCUCUUCUGCAGCACUGAGGAACUGAAGUCAGGAGAGUUGCUCUUCAUCUAUAGCAGCAACCAGGUGAGAAAAACUUUGCUCUGUCCGUGCUUUUGCAGCUAAACCUAAGCCAGGCUAUAUUCUGAUCUAAUUAUAGUUCUUAGAUUAGCAGUGUGUUACCAGCUUGGGGUCUUUUUAACUUCAGAGUCUCAAGAAGACAAUUCACAGGCAAGUGGUGGUUGUGAAAUCCAGUCAGGCAAGACAUGCCUCUGAUUUUGAAGCAGAAAUCCAUUCUAUGUUAUGGCACUAUUGGCUCAAAUAUCAUAUUUACAUUCUAGUUUUUAAUGGCUUGCAGUUAGGAAUCAGACAAGCUGUUCUGUAGGUGGUCUAAAUUAUAUCCUGUGUGCACAUUGCAUGCUGAGAAGAGUUUGCUGAUCUAACAAAUGAUAAAAGACUAAGCAAUCACCCACUGUAAGUCCAAAUCUUUACCCUGGCAAACCUCACAUGGAUUUUUCAUGGGAGUUUUGCCUUAGUAAUGACUGUAGAAUUUGGCCCAUUUUGACCACACCGGUGACUAACAGUCCAGCAUUAGAACCCGUGUCCCUUGGAUCCAUUUUAGGUAUUUAAAGCUGAUUCUCAUUAUUGCAAUAACCAAUAAUCUUACUAUCUUCUAGUCUUUUUUAACCUCAAAUUUCUCAGUCAUGAAGGUAUUUUCUCCAUUAACAGAGAGCAAAUACUUUUUUUAACUAUAACUGAUUACCUAAAAAUUUAGAUGCAUGCCUUGUGGGAUUUUCAGGAAUAUCUGAGAGCCUGUUUCUCACUAAAAUGAAUGAGAAUUAAGUCUUAAAUGUCUUUAAAGAGUCAUACCAAAGUGACUGAUGAAACAAAUCACAUUAGACAGCUUUGACAAAGCAAGAGAUUUAUUCUGCCACCCAUAUGCCCAACUACUAUGCAGGUCCCUGCACUUGACUUCUGCUAAGAACAUUAUCCUCCUUCAACUCACUUCCUUUCAUGUACUUUAAAAAAAGGAUCUCUAAGAUGUAACCCUGCCUUUCAAUCUGUACUUAGCUCAGCAAUGUAGAUCUUAAUUGUGACUGAGACCAGGAAUUACUGAACUGAAUUAAUCUAAUUCAAAUAAAUGGUAAAAUCUAGCAAUUGUAGUGGCACCAGUGGAAAGCCAACACUUCCCAUUUUUGUUUUCAAUUCUGUAUCUGAAAGACAAAUGCUUGCAAAAUGGCUUUCCCAUUUGGGAGGGCAGGUGGGUAAAACUGAAACAAUAGGUCUAUGACACAUCCUUAAAUCUAAAGUUAACACCUUUGCACUACAAAAGGUACAGAAGAUGCUAUAAAAGCCUCUGCUCCUGCCCAGGAACUGAGCGGCUCAGGCUGCGCGCUCAGCCCCAGGCACAUCUGAGCCCUUUUACCUGAAGGGACUGCGGGGCUGCGGCUCCCACUCUUUCUGUACUGGUACAUCCAGGACCAUAUCUAUAGCAGUAAUUAAGUAGUGCAGUCAUGUUGUGGACCCAAAAUCAACACUGACUGCAUUUUUUUUUAGGGGGGGAAAGGGAUUAGCUCCGGGCCAGUCCUGUGGCCUAGUGACAGCAGCAGACCCAGAGGUGUUUUGGAGCACACCUCCCAGGAGUUUGCACUCUGACAACACACUGGCUAGCGGGAACAAUUGGGAGAUUUACCUCCUGAUCCAAAGUAACAUGAGACAUCAUGUAAGAAUAAGAUUUAAAUGAUUAAUUUGAGACAAUCAUAGGAGAAAGCCCUUCUUUAUGUUACUUUUUCAUAAUCCUGAAAUAGCCCCUGGAAGAAGGCAAAUUUCAGUUUCCUUCAACACCUGCUAAUAUGUUCGAGAUACAGUUGAAACCCUUAUUCCUACUUCCUGUAUCUUGUUAGACUUUAGCUUUUAGGGGAGAGAUUUCUGUAGCUGUUUCUAUAACUAAAUAUAGUUCUUCUUACAGCCAUGAGUUAUCAACACUCUGAAAGUCCUUGCAGUGUCUCGGCUCUCCAUGAGGCUUAAACACAAUUUAAAUAACAGUUCAACAGAUAAAGUACUGGCUUGCAUCCUCUCUUUAUCCCAUCACCUUCCUACAAAGCCAGUAAAGAACAAAGAGUACGAAUAUGUGGGCUAUCUCUUCAUUCUCAAUAAAACACAGAUAUGCUUGUGAAUAACCAUGGAAGGACAGGAGAAAAUGCUCCAGCAAGUCCAAAUCUGAUUCCAGCCCUAAUGGUCCAGCAGAGGAAGGAGCUGAUGGCUGCUCAAGCAGAAUGGAGGUGAAAGGAGCAGUCAGAAAACCCUGCACAGGUCUCACCUGCAGGACCCACUGCCACAGCUCAUGGACAGUCCAUGGAAAUGCAGGUCCCACACUGUCCUGUAGUAGUUAGUAGCAGUAUAAUAGUUAAUAUUUUCAUUCUUACUGGCAAAAAUGGCUUUUUUUUUUUUUUUUCCUGUUUUGCAUGACAAGCACUUCUAAAAGCUCAUCAGCAGUGUAUUGGUCUGGGUAGCAUUUUCAACCUGGGUGCAACAAUCUUAUUUUCCUGUCCAAGACCUUGGAGAAGGCAGGACACCUGCACCAUGCCAGUGCUGGCAAGCCAGGUGGUUGCUGCCCUGUGGGAGGACACAGCUUGCAGAGCAGCAGCUUUGACUCAGAACAGGAGGAGUUUCUUCUUCCAGGAGUGAUGUCCUCACUGUCAUGCCUUACAGGCCUUCACCAGCAAAAACUACAAUUCUCCACAGUUGUGCUUUGUCCUCUUUCACCUUCCCUGUAGGCUGCCCACAGCCCAGCCCUGCUUAGGGGCCACCAGUUGCUGCCUCCUCCCAGCACCCUGGAUAGAACUAUGAGCUGCUGAACUCUCAAAAGUGCUUGUUGGUGGGUGCACACAGUGAUGUUUUGUCUGCUGCUCCUUCUAUCUUGAGUGCAUUUGUCUUGGUGUCUCUCACAGAUGGUUACAAUAAGACUGCAAAUGGUUUCCCUGCUUUAAAAAAAGGCAACAAAAACCCCUUCUUUUUUGUUUCUUAAGUGAAACUUAGAUAUCCCAGUUAGGAAGUAUACUCUGGAUGUUAUGUUAAACUAUUCAGGUAAAUCAUUUUAGUUUUGCUCACCUGGAUUUUUAAACAGUCAAAUCUCUUUGGGAUGGAAAUGUUCUCUCUGCAACCCAGCCAAGAAGAAAGUUUUCUGCAGUGUCUUAGGUGGAAAAGGCUAUGUAUAAUAAGUAAUAACAUGGUAAUAUUUUAAAAACCAUCCAUUGCAUUGAUCCUCUCUUUGCAUAAAAAUUAGUAGGCUUUCUGAUCUGCUUGUAUAUUUUUCUGCAUAUUUGUUUCACAUUUAUAGCUUUUAUUUUUUUUUCAUCUAGCUUGCUAGAUCAUGACAGUAUAAUUGCAGGUAGCCUACAGCUAGAUUCCCUUGUGUUUGUACUGACUCUCUACUCUGAACAGCAGGAUAGCUACUCCACACUAACACAGGAAAAAUAAGAACAAGUUUUCACUGCAAGAAGUUCCUCUCCUAAUUCACUCAGACUUUCUGGGAGAAGGGUUGAAAAUGGAUAUUGAAAUAUAAAAGACCGCUAUAGCUGACUCUUCACUAGGGUUUGUCAUACCCCAUUAGCAACAAUCUAGAAAUAUCAGUGUCACAAUGUGUUGGCAAUCACUCAUCUUUACUAGUAUCACAUGAAUGCCUAUCCAGGUUAACGUGCAACCUGUCGCUCAAACAGCUACAAAGACAUACUGUGUAACAGGGAAAAGAAUACUAAUGCUUUAGACUUUCAUGUUACCAAUAACAUGCUUUAUCUGUAGAGACUGGUGCCUAUGUCAGUGUACACUAGACAAAAAAAAGGUCACCAUCACAAAAAGUUUCACCAAACCUGAGAUUUUAUAUUUGAGAUAUUCUUUUACCUCCAUUAAAAUCCCUUGCUAUACAUGUAUUUCAUGGCCAUAGUGUUUGUUGCAUUUCAGAUGUAAAAUACAGCUCCUUUGCCUAAUAAUACCACUUUUUUUUCACUUGUAUUCAAUUACACCCAUUUUAUUAUAGAAACCUCUAUGUUCAGUCACUGCAAGGGAUUACUAUUACAUAUUCCUACAAAUAAUUUUUCUCUUUCAGGCUAAAGUGAGUAGGAAUUUGCUUCCAAAGCAUUUUCAUCAACAUACUGUCAGCUUAGUGCUGAUACCUUUUAAUUACAUUGGGGUUUAUUUCUCAUGAUUUCUCCUUAAAUCUCUUGAUAAUCCCAGCAAAAUCUUGAUGUCAGCUAAUGGACCACUCCCCUUACAGUGCAAUUAUAUCAAGCAACAAAAAUUAUCUAAACAAUUCCUCUCCUUUUCCCUCAAUUUAGUAAUAUAAAAUUCUUAAAUGGGAUUAGAAUUUAGGAAAUGCCAGCCCACAAACAAGAAAACUCCCAAUAAAAGAGACUGGGUUACAUGCCUUCCUCUGAACAGAAAAAAUUCAGCUGCAGCUCUGUGGCAUGCAAUUUCAUCUUUCAGGAAUUUUAUUCAGGCUCACAAAUGAAUGUGCAUCAUUCAGCUUUUGUCCACAAAUGAAAAAACAAAGCCAGCUAUGCCUACAAGGGUUCAGAACAGGAAACAGAAGCAAAAGAGUAGUCUUGAAUUUUGAAUAAAAUUUAGAUGUUAGGUAGCUGAGCUAUUUGAAACAUAAUUGCAGUGGCAAAUAUUCUAGGGUUGCUUGGUGAAAUUUAAGAAAUAAAUAAAAAAAUUGGGUGUGAACACGCCGUUGAUCUGGGCAUUCGUCAAAGUGCCAUCUCUGACAGACCUAUGGAGGUUCUGUGCACAUUUUUCUGAUCGAAUGCUAUUCUCCCAGUCAGUCAGAGCGCAGCACAAGUUGCCAGCAAUCAUUCAUCAGCCCCUUGCAGAAAGGGCUGUCAGCUCAGGCUACAGGCUGAGCGCCAGGCUGUCAGGUUUUGGGCUCGCAGCCAGUCUGUCAUGGUUUGAGGCUGGUAGCCAAGCAGUAACUUUGAUGUUUAAGGGGUUAGCCAACUGGUAUGUGAGGGUGGCCUAUCAGCUCAGAAAUAAUAUACUGCACUCAAAGGUCAUGAGUUCUGAAACUAAUCUGGCUGUUAUAAUAUUUCUAAUAAAAACUGAGGUAGACAUUUUAUAUUGUAAAAAGUGUUCAAAUUAUUUCAGUAUUUGUUUUGAUUAAAAUUUCCAUUACACGUGCUUUUCAUUAUGCAACUCAAUUAGUAUAUAAAAGAUUUUCUGUUUAAAAUGUUCAAAUGAGCAUAAUUGUUCAAUUUGGAAAGAUUACAAUGCUUUUAUUUAAUUAACACUGCAAUAAAUACUUCAUUUUAUAAUGAACCCCAUACUUUUGAGCCAUUAACCAUUCAAUAAAUUUACAGUAUGGAAGGUUCUUUAUGGGGAAGAAGAUAAAUAAAGCUAUUUAAAUGAAUGUGCAACAGCUCUGAUGCUAAGAAGCAAAUUAUAGCUUUUUGCUUCCCAUCCACUAGAGUUAUACCUCGAUUACAAACAUAUGAGAAUAUAAUAAACACUAUACAUUUCAAUUACUAUUUUGAACAUGAGUUACACAACACUCUUCCAAAUUUGCUAUGUAGAAAUGCAGUCCACAUUCGUGGCAUCUUUCCAGAUAAAGAAGAUGAAAUAAAUUUUCAUCUGCCUUUCACCUUCUCCCAUCCCGUCCACAACUACUUCAGUUCUGUGCUGGAAUUUCCUGAUUUAGAUCUGAUCAUUUGUUUCUUCAUGAGAAUAAAAGGAAUAAAAUACCUCUCAGCUAUUCAGUAGAUUAUUAUUUGCAAUAGCAACAUGAUGAAGGAAAAAUCCCCUGGUAGUAGUGUGGCAUGGUGCACUCAUAAACACACCAACUAAUGAAAUAGCAGAGAACAGGGGUUCUAACACAAUAACAGGAAUAUCAGGCAAACCCUAACACUCUGGCUGGAUCAUGGAUUAAUGUCCCUCCAUCCUGAAGUCUGUGACUGUCUGUCUAAAUCCAUAAACCAGAAAGAGGCUCAAGAGGUAAAAGCGGCUCUUUCAGGCAGUGGAAGUCCCCACAAUCAGGGUGAUCUGGGCCCACAGUGCCUGACAUGACUGACCGAAAGGUGUUAAAUGCCUUCAAAUCCCAACAAAACCAGCAGGGCCAGGAGCUCUCAGCACUUGCUGAAGCUGUUCAGCAUCUUGUUUCAUCCCUGCCUGCCUGGGAGCUGCUGCCAGGACCACGGGGCCGUCCACCUGCGGGGAAGCUGUCAUGGAAAAGGGCAUCACUGCUGUCAACGUUUUGUGUUGUUCCAUGGUUGUAUCAGGGAGGUAAAAUGUGAGGGCAAAGCUAUUUCAGAUUUAUUGGGCUGCUCAGCCAAAAAAGCUCAUAAAACUCUAGUUAAACAAAAAUGGCAACAUAACCAGUAACAAAAUCUAAUUUGUGAACUUCACUAGGAAAAAGACCUCUUUGUGAAACUGUUAUAUCAUCUAGGAAUAUGGAUUCAAAAGAUUUUAUUGCUUUAUCUUCCAAACCUCCCUUCAUCUGAUCCUUAUUUUACCAUACAGAAUCCUUAAACAAAAAACAAACAAACAAAAAACACCCAAAACCAAACCAACAAACAAGCACAAGAAAAUACUUUGGAAAUCUAUUACACUCUCUUUUUUCAUACUUCAAAAAAUGGCUGGACUGCAUUUGUCUACAGUGUCCACUGGAGGCCUUUCAGAUGUUGCAAUGUGUUUCCAGAAUCAAUUGUUUACAAUAAUUAUAAAACUAAAAUAAGCCAUAUCACCAUGUAUUUAGGCAUUCCUUAUGAACUGUAACCACUGAACAAACUACUUGAAAAACAUUACUGCAUGCUGUUGUCCUCAGCCACUAUUCAAAGAACUUUUUUCCUAAUCUGAAUAUAAUAUACAAACAGCACAGACAUGAAAUAAGAUGUCGAUUUAGCAAACUUUUAGAACUACAGGUGAAAAGAAAAAGUACUACUGAAACUUGACUUAAUAAAAAGCUUUUCUUAAGAGUAUUUAAAAGUCCCAAAUAUAGCUUAAAACAGGUAAACAUUUUAAAUAGAUUUUUCUCAGGAAAUCUAGCCACCUGUUUUUAUAUACUUUCUGGAAAGAGAAAAAAGAUAUAGACUACUCUUAUGCAAAAAUAAAUUGUGCAGUUUGUGGUAACUUUAUUAAAGAUGAGUAAUUUUUGAAGCUAGCAGUGAGACAUAAAUGUUUAACACAAGAGUCUCUUUCUUAGAGAAGCUUUGAAUAAGGACAUGCCUGUUUUAAACUGUAGAUUUACAGGGAGAGAAGGAGCUCAAUAUUUUAAAAUAUUAGCUCUAUAGUCUGGUGAACAAAAGUGUUACAGUCAGAUUAGAAACUCAACAAGCCUCAUUCUCUCCUAUACAAGCUUCUUAGCCCCUGGCACUUGCAAAUCUAGUGAACUAGAUACGAGCCUCCGUGUGUUCUAGUGAAGCUGGUCUCAGUCUAAUAAGUGUAAUAACACACUUACCAUUGCUAGGAGAAGAAAGGAUAUAACCCUUAAAGUCUGUUUUGAGGGCCUAUUUCAAGGGCCUGAUUAAUAAUCGAUUCACUCAAGUGUGUGCUACAUUUCAUGGUAUUUAAACGCAAGUAUAUGAAGUAAUUUUAGUUUAAAUCCAAAUGUUCUCUCUGAUAGUAAUCUCUAUCUGAUUACUAGUUUUAUUUCUCAUUUCAGACUAUGAGAACUGCUCUUUUCUUGCCUAACUGCAUGAUUUAGAGUCAAUUAGAUUGAGAAACGAUAAAAGAUUCCUUCAUAAUUAACUGAUAUUAUCAAACUCCAGACAUAAAAGUCAAAUAUUCUGAAAAAAAUCAGAUCCUGCAGUUUAGUUCUGCAGUGCUGUCUAUGAACUCUCCACCUAGGGAGGGAGAUGCCUCUGGUUUAGAGCUUGAGUACCAAGGAAAUAUGACAUUCCUACCAUUCAUCUAUAUGGCAAAUGAGAAUAAAAUAAAAAAAAAGUGCCACAAUAGUUGAAAAGAUAAGUUAUCAAUUUCCUGCUUGUGAGUGUUCCGGCAAAAAAACACUCCGAUUUCUGUUUACACAAAAACGUGGGGUUUUUUAAUAAAAACACUUUUUUCUUUAUCAUUCUUAUCCCAAUCUUGCAAAACUCUUCUCUUUUUUGGUAAUAGAAACAUUGAAAGCAAUAAUGAUACUUUGUCCAAUGCUGUCUUCCCUAAUACCUGAACCUUAGUCUAUCUGCUGACAGCAUCUUCAGAAAAUAAUUGCAAUUAUCAGAAUGGUUUUCUUCAGCUCAUUCAGUACAUGAUCAUGAACCAAAUGUUCUAUUUUAUGAAACAUGUUAUAGGACCUGGUGGUGUCCUGAAGAGUAAGCUGGGAGUAGGGUGAAGAAUGCUAAGUUUUUGACCACGCUGCUUCAUAAUGGCAGUGGAAAGGACUGGUGUUUUCUGGGCUUUUUUUUUUCUUCCCCACUUGGCAGAACUCUGAAACUAUGCCAUUAAGACACUUCUGAGUUACAUGCCCAACAGACAGUCUUGUCUGGUGCCUUAAAUGAAUGUCUUGUCCUUUAUUACACGGAUGAGAAGUUGAAGUACCGCACAUCUCAUAUGCACAGCACUUGGCGCUCAGUGUGAGCUCUUGUAAGAUCCUUAUCUCUAAACCAGUUUUUCUUCAAAGUCAUAAACAUCUGGAAAUUGUGCACUAUUCUUGCCAUAGAAAUCAAACACUCGAGUCCUUAUUUGAUCGCCCAGGGAACACUCACAUUGCUUUCUUCUGUUGUGUAGGUGCCACAGGAUUUGGCUUUCUGUUUGACAGCUUCUUUUCUUAGGUGACUGGGAAUCAGUUAGAGAAGGAUAAACUAGGUAUUUUUUUUGCCAGCUGCAUUAUUUAACUGACUAAAUAAUAAAAAGGUCAAGAGACAGUAGGAGGUUUUAUAUCGAGAUAAAGUUGGUACAAAAGAAAAGUCAAAGUCUCAUUUGCCCUUACCAUCCAUAAAGCGCCCAGUGCUGCCCAGGCUUACCUGUCCUAGAAAGCUGUGGGUCAUUAUGAAAUGCAAACUAUUAAGCAUGCUUCUGGUUGUGGCUGAGACGUGCCUAACAUAAUGUUUUGCCUUUGACCGGCUAAAGAAAAUAAAUAUAUAAGCAGAGUAGAUAUACAGUGAUUUCUUCCUCAAUAAGCCCUUGAAGCUUCUGACAGUAUCAGGGUUUGGGUCUUCCUAAGUUGUUUUCUAAGAGAUAACAAUACUGUCAUAUAAUUGAGACAUUAAUAGUUUUUCCAAAAGAGGCAGAUCUUGCUUCAUCUGAACACAGCAAGAGCUGAGCUUGGCGUGAUCUUUAAGAAGGGAAAUUUCCAUAGCAGCUUCUUAAAACCAGGGUUGCAUAGAAAGCUCUCGCAUGUGGCCACAGCUCAGCUUUAAAAGGAGCAGCUUUAAAUAUUAUUGGAAAGAUACACUAUAUCUCAUCCUGAUUUUCCUGUUUUCUCUGUUACCACCAUCAGCUGAUCUCAGUAGCUUCAUAAGGAAUUAAAUUUUGGAUUAUUUUUUUUUUUGUCACAAAAAAAAACCCAGUGGUAUAUGUUACAUCCCUGAUUAAUGUUUAGAGCUAGGGCGUACAGUUCCCAUAUCAAGAUGAUCCUAUCGGCCUUGUGGUUAAAAUCCUGUUCCCAUCAAAGAGGAGCAGCCAAUGUUCCCUAAUAAUAUUUUAUUUGAUGCUCUCCUAUUCAGAGGGAUUCAGGAUGUCUCACAUGCCUCAGGAAGGAAUGGGCAUAUUCUGUGUUUUUCAUGGAAAAUACAUUCUGAAUAAAACAUCAUGAAAAUAGAAGCAUUGGAGAAACACAUUUUCCAUUUGCCAUGUCAAAAACAUUGAUUACUUGCUGAAAAAAAAAAAAAAAAAAUAAGUUUUCUACCUGUGUUUUCUUUUCCCUUGGAAAAGAAAUAUAUUAAUUCCCUCCUCCUCCUGUUUUUGUUUUUAUUUUCCUUUAAUGUUUCCUUCAGGAAAAGAGCAAUUCUGACCAGGUCUCUUUUCCUGACUGCUCAAAUAUAAAAUUUCCUUGGCAGCUUUGUGCCUGCAGGAUGUGCCUCCUUGCACGGAGCAGGAGUUGCUAGAGAAGUUGGCUCAUUAGAGCAUCUUAUAAAUAGGAGAGACCAGCAGCAGGUGAGCAAAUGCACUAAAGUUUCAGAUCUCAGUUUAUCUUUGUGCCCUAAAAGCCUGAAGCUGUUUCAUAUAAAUGUCUUAAUUGUAAGGCUGUAAAUAAGGUGCACCAGAUUCUGAAAUUGAAGUUAUGAAUAAAUAAAUUUGUUAAACAGGUUACCCCACAUCAUUAAACUUUCUGAAAGGCUGUCUGUAUUUUUCAAAACUUUUCUUUUUGCAUAACCCCUUAAAAACAUUUAGGUCUUAAAACCCAUUCAGAGGAUAUUUAUAGUUAUGAUGAAGGAUAACAAGUUUCAUGUGGGCAUCCUAAUGUAUGAAAAAAAAAAAGCGAGACUGACUAUACACUGGUGAGGUAUCAAAUACAUAUUUACUUUCAUGAGCUCAGUAUGCCAAGCUAAUUUAUGAGCAGUUGAAUGAAACAGAGCCAGAAGUGAGGUCAAGUAAGUGGUCAUCCCAGAGAAGUAAAAAAAAAAAAAACAACACUACUACACUUGCAUUUAAACACUGGAGAUGUUGCCUGUCAUGUUGGGCCAUGUAUAUUAUCUGUGCAAUAAGGAACAAGGGGAACUUAAAGCUCUUCAAGGGGUCUAAAACGUACAUUUAGUGGUAUUAGUGAGCAAUUGUGCUGCAGGAAUCCUUGUAGCUGGCUGUCUUGUUCUUGUCUGGGAAUUGUCAAUCUCUCUAAAGCACGUGAGAAUAACAUGUUGGGAUGCCACAAGUAUGUGGGUAGCAUUUAUGUAACCUUCAGCCUUUGUGGGAAAGUAAAAACCUUUGUUACUUGGAUUUGACUCUGUAGCAGAUGGUAUGAAUAAAUGUUUGCAGUGCCAGUGUUGUUCAGUUCGGCUGAUCGAUUCUGUCAUACUCCCAAGGAGGUAGAGACAGCUUAAAUAACUGAUUCAGGAUGUAGGAAAUAUUUUCCUUUUCCUGUUGCAGUAGUAUUGUGUAGAAGUGAUGCUAUUCUGACUUCCAGCUUCUCACUUGGUGGGAUGCAUGAAUUAUGUAAAUAUUGAUUGGGUUUUUAGCAAAGUUCACACAGCUUAUUUCCAACCAUUUCACAUAUUCCAAUUCCCAAAAGUGCUUAAAGCACAAUGGUCAUUAUCCUUUUCACUUUUUUUUUUUUUUUUUAAAGUAAUAUUGUUGCUUAGACUAACCAGGGCUGAUGCAAAACCUGUGUUAGGGUCUUGAUCAAAUUCUCUCUCAUUUCCAGCCUGGCCAACAAAUGCAUUCCUAUGGGAGAACAGUCUGGCAAGCCUUUCUUUGGCCAGUAUGAGCCUGAUGACAGCAGUCACCUUAUUUCUUAUGUGUGGAAUAUAGUGCCUAGUAUACUGGCCUGGAGCUGACUCAAGGCUUCUAGGUACACGCUAUGAAUAAAAACAACAAAGCGAUUCUUUUAUGGAGUUGGCAUAGCACCUCUUCUCCUUCUUUAAAUUUUCCCCCUUUCU